UGUUUUAUUAUAAUUCUCUUUAUAAUUAUUAUAUAUGAAAAAGAUCAUUUACAAUGUUCCAUCUUUCUAAAGGUGAGAAGAUUGAUGCCAGUGACAUACAACUUUAUCUGAAAGAAUUAGGUAUUGAGCUAACAGAUCAGGAAAAUCAGGAACUAUUGGACACACUGCCAUUGGACGGUGAGCAUUUCAGACAUCCCAAUCAAUUUCAGAGAAUCCUGGGCUUCAGACUUGAACACAGAACAUUCCAGAAGUAUUAAUGUUUAAUCUUCUACUAAAAAUUAAGAGAAAAGUUAUGUAGAAAAAAACAAUUCUGAUGUAAAAUAUACUGUCCUUUCUAUUUAGAUCUUAAUUUGAAUGAUAAUGUUCUCACUGGGGUAUUGAUAUUACAAAUAAGCCAUUAUAAAUGUUCCAACCAGUAUCUAUAACAAGCCUAAAACUAAGACUAGAAAAGAUUAUAAUCAGAAAAGAUGUAGAAAGGAAGGAAAAUACACUUCAAAAAAGGGAAAACAUCUAUAUUUUACCAUGUUAGAGUUCUACUAGUAGUAAUCAGAUGUGAAAGAAUGAAUAGUUAACCUUGAGAAUCUUAUUAAUUUCUUUGCUUCCUUUUUUGGAUCAUAAUUAAGAAAAUUUGUAAAAUUUAUAAAUAGUUAAAAUUUACUGUCUUUCUAAAUUUCCACUUUUUAAAAAAAUUUAGUUCAAACUUAAUAAUGUUUUGACAUUUUGCCACAUUCACUUCAAAUGUAGACAUUGUAUACACACACAUCUGUGUUAUUUUUCUUGAAAACAGAGCUAUUAAUAUCACACAGUGUUCAUAAUGUGGGGAAAGAAGGGCAUGUUGUCAUGUCCAUGGUAUGACUCAGGAAAGCAAUAUUUAUAAAUAUGUGCUGAAUGACUUUUACUAACUAAAUGACUUUCAUCAUACAGAAAAUCGAAAGGUGUAUAAAAAUAGGCUGAUGGAUGGAGUGAAAGCUUACAGAGGAGGAAAGGUUAUUGUUGAUAAAAUAGAUGAUGUUCUUGAAAACAUGGGAUUCUCACUUGAAGAAGAAGAAAUUGAGGAACUGUGCAAACACCUGCCAAUUAAUGGUGAGCAUUCCAUGUACAGAGUACCCUGUAAGAAAAACUUAUUUUUCCGUGGAAACAUCUCAAGUAUAUUUGUUAAUUUCAGGCAAAAGUUCAAAAGUAUAUAGAGAUCUAUUACUAAAGAACUGAGAAAUAUAGUCUGUUAAUAUUACCCUGGAUAAAAUAUCCACACUUGCUUAUGUUUCUGCUACCAGAGUUUCCAUGCCAGCAAAUACCAAAAUGGUCAGUGUUGGGAUCAAGUAGAUAAGUUUUCUAAUAAAUUCAUAUUUUAGGGGAGGGAGGAGAAAAUA
rnacentral:lncRNA from 1 species